UGCAGUUGCGCUUGAAUCCCUUCCCGCAGUCGGGGCAGCGGAAGGGCCUCUCCUCCAUGUGAAUCCGCUGAUGUUCAAGGAGAUGGGAGGGACCAAAGACACCUAUUUCACUGCUAUGCAGAGGUUCGGCGACAGCCUUUGGGAGGUGGAGAAGCCGGUUGAAAGUAUCCUUGCUGCCCUGGCGAGAGGAAGAGAGGUUGGAGCUCCAAGUAAAGACAAACUGAUGAAGUCGAACUGAUCUUGCCCUGAUCAGAUAAAGGAAUUCGCUGGAUUCCAGCUAAGUGGGUGAAACCUUACCUAAAGUCACACCUGCCAGCUAAUACUCUGUCCAGAAGCAGAACGUCGGCGACAACACCGACUUCAGACGCAGCUGAACCCGAUACUCCAGCACCUGACGGUUGAACAAGGAUUGAACUUUUUUCCACAGCCAUUAACAGAUGUGGGCCAGCUACCUGGACUUGGUAGGCAACCAAUAACGGUAACCAACAACGACAGCUUACCACCACUUCCAAUACAGGUUUUAAACCAAAUUGAA